rnacentral:lncRNA from 1 species
GCCCAUCUUGGUCUAUGUGCAUAUCAUAAACGAAUAAAAAUUUUGUGAAAAUUGAUAAAAAUUGACUAUAAAGGGCAAUAACUCCUUAUGAGGUUUAUUGACCAUUUUGAUCAUGUUGACUUAUUUGUAGGUCUUACUUUGCUGUACAUUAUUGCUGUUUACAGUUUAUCACUGUCUAUAAUUAUAUUCAAGAUAAUAACCAAAAGCUGCAAAAUUUUCUGAAAAUUACCAAUUCCGGGGCAGCAACACAACAAUGGGUUGCCUGAUUGGUCUGAAAAUUUCAGGGCAGAUAGACUGACCUAACGAACAAAUUUAUCCUCGUCAAAUUUGCUUUAAAUGCUUUGGUUUCUGAGAUUUUAGCCAAAAACUGCAUUUUACCCUAUGUACGAUUUUUAGCCAUGUUGCCCAUCUUGGUUUGCAGUCAGGGUCAUCGGGCACAUUUUUUAAACUAAAUACCCUAAUGAUGAUUGUGGACAAGUUUGGUUAAAUUUGGCCCAGUAGUUUCAGAUGAGAAGAUUUUUGUAAAAGUUAAAGACGACGACAACAGACGCCAAGUGAUGAGAAAAGCUGGCCCUUUGGGCCAGGUGAGCUAAUAAUUGACCUUUUUGCAUAUAGUAUCUACAAAACAAGUCAACUAAACUAGGAAAACUUGAGAUUGACAUAUGAAUCAUGAAACUGAUGGUCACAUUAUAAUUUC